ACUAUUUCGGUUGGCGGAAACAUAUAAUUUAUUUAUGAUCUUAUGGUUUUGGGAUGUGAGCAAAUUUCAUAAUAUUAUCCUCCCAUCAAAUUAGCCACAUGUUCGGUCAUUAAGUAUCCACGUAAAUACGAACAUACCGACCAAGAGUUAUGAGAAGGAAGUGGCAAAUAGUGUUAGGCAGUGUAUUGUUCCAUUUAUGGUGGUGUGGCAUAAAUGGAAUUUGGUCGCUGUUGGUUAGUUGGUGACUCA